rnacentral:lncRNA from 1 species
CCGGCCCCGCCCUCGCUCCGCCUGCGCAGGCGCAAUUUCCCGCAAACCCGGAAGCGGAGGGAGGGGCGCAGCCCUUGGUUUUUCUGUCACGACUGGGUAUUUUAGACGCCCCUCACGCCCCCGAUCCGCCACAUCCAAGGUUCAGGGGUCGUCAAUUACGUUAAGAUCCCCUUCAUCCACUCGUCCGCCCUCGCCGCGCUGUGCAAAGCUCUCACUUCCGGGGUGGAUUCUCUUCUGCCGCUUGGCCAUGUAUACCCGGAGGCCACAUCUUCUCCUCUGCCUCGGGGUCGUGCAGACAUCACCCCUCUCCUGACAGCUUCCAUAUCUACGUAGCCUCAGGAGUCGGCCCCUUCCCUCCGUAGUCAUCCUUUGCACUUUGCACUCACCGCGUUGGAGUUCUCUGCCCCACGCGCUGAAAGAGGUGACACGCACCCAUUUGAUUACAUUCUUUGUGU